rnacentral:rRNA from 1 species
UACGUAGGUGUCAAGCGUUGUCCGGAUUUAUUGGGCGUAAAGCGCCCGCAGGCGGCUUGCCAAGUUCGAUGUGAAAUCUCCCGGCUCAACUGGGAGGGUGCAUCGAAAACUGGCAGGCUUGAGGCAGGGAGAGGGAUGUGGAAUUCCAGGUGUAGUGGUGAAAUGCGUGAGAUAUCUGGAGGAACACCAGUGGCGAAGGCGGCAUCCUGGCCCUGUCCUGACGCUGAGGAGCGAAAGCGUGGGUAGCAAACAGGA